ACUGAUGUGCCGCAGUGGUUUGUGUGCUGGGCUGUGAAUCUGGAGACCAGGAUUCAAUUCCCUGCUCAGCA